UCUCUCCUCUCCUCUAGAUAGCGGAAGCCCAACAAACAUCUCCGCCGGGGCAACAAUUUCUUUCUCUCCAACCUCAAAAAAUACCUUAAGAAAAUGUCGAAAAUCCCACACGAAAUCAUAACCGAUAUUUUCCAACAACUUCCCGUCAAAUCUCUCCUCCGGUUCAGAUCUCUAUCAAAGCCGAUUUGCUCCUUAAUCGACGGCCCAGAUUUCAUCAAGGUCCAUCUAUACCAUUCCAUCGCCGCCAAAUCGAAUCACAGUGUCAUCCUCAAAGAAUGGGAUCUUUUCACUGUCGAUUUUGACACCCUUUCAGACGCUGUGGAGGUUAAGCACCACCCCCUUUACGCAGCUGGGGGCACGGAGGUGAUUGGUUCGGUUAAUGGGUUGGUGUUUUUGAGACAUUCGGAGAGGAAUCUUGCGGUGUAUAAUUUGUCUACGAGGGAGUGGAAGAAAUGUUUCGUGGUAGAAAUUAAGCCUCCCAGAAGAGAUUUGAUUACGGGGUAUGUAUAUUAUGGGUUUGGUUAUGAUUCUGUUGGCGAUGAUUAUAAAGUGGUGAGGAUGGCACAAUUCGUUAGAGAAGAUGAGGGCUGUGGCGGCGGAGGUGGUGGUGGUGGUGGUGGUGGUGGUAGUUUGGGUUGUGAAUAUGAAGUUAGGGUUUAUAGUUUGAAGAAUGAUAAGUGGAAGAAAAUUGAAGAUUUGCCAAUUUGUCUCAAGUUAUUAAGCAAGCAAUUUUUUCAUGUUUUGCAUAGGAGAGGGUAUGGUGUUUUUGCUGGUCAUGCUUUGCAUUGGAUUGUCCCUCAAAGGCGUCAACUUGGUAUUAGAGAUUGUGUUCUUGGGUUUGAUAUUAGGAACGAUAAGUUUUUCGAAUUACCGCAACCCAAUUAUGAGAGCAAAGGAAUGAGCUUUCAGGUUGAUGUUGGGGUUUUGGAAGGGAAUUUGUGUGUAAUGUGUAAUUAUGAGCAUGCUUGUGUUGAUGUUUGGGUCAUGAGGGAGUAUGGCACGAAAGAAUCUUGGUGCAAGAUGUUUUCUGUUAAAGGGAUCAAGUGGAUUGGUGCUUUUAUGUUUUUGAGACCUUUGAUUUAUUCUAAGGAUGGUGGUAAGGUGUUGUUGGAAGUGAAUGAUGAAAAGCUUGUGUGGUAUGAUUGGAAAAAUAAGCAUGCUAAGGUUGUAAAGAUCCGUGGUGGACCGAAGUCAUAUGGUUCUGAAAUGUAUGUGGAAAGCCUUGUUAGGAUCAAUGAUGGUGAUCGAAACGGCUGGAAGAAGCAGCAAGAGAUAGAUGAGGAAAAGGAGAAGAGGAAGGCAGAUAGGAAGAAGAGGGAUAAUUUCCUGUCUGUGGGGUUCAAGCUGAAGUUGUAGGACCACCAGAGAAAGAGGAUACCGCACAAAGGCGAAAUGGAAGAAGGUGAGCUUUUUAGCUUGGCCAUUGAACUAAUGCUUUUAUUCUGCUGUCUGGAUUAAGCAAUGUAAAGAUCAAGGCAAUUAGAUUUUUAAGUUUUCAUGUUUCAGAGGGCUGAUAGCUACUUCCGUUUCGCCAGAUAUUCUUGCUCCUUUUUCUUCUUUUCUGUUUGACCCAGGGUUGAUACUGAAGACUACACAUGCCAGUUUGAAGACAGAAAAUGUGGAGAAGAAGGCUCCAAGCAGUGUAUACUGUGCCUUAUGCUGAAAGUACUAUACAAUGUUAGAUUUGGUUUGAGGGCAUUCUGAUAAGAAAAAUCAGAUACUUUAUGCCUUACCGGUGCAAGAAAAACUCUGGAACUCAUGUAUAGCAUUUCAAGACAGAGAAGAUUCAUUUUGGGGGAAGUCAUUUAGGGCUAUUGGAUUUGAGCAAGAUAUCAAAGGACUCACUAGGACCAUUAGAUCCAAAUCCACUGGCCUGGCUGUGAAGCAACCUUUCUGUUCUUGUGAUGUGGAAAUGGAAUCAUGAACUUUCUGGGAAACAUCUGGUUUUGUCCUAUAAUUGAACUUGGUUACUUCCUUCUCAAGCUGUUUAAUUCGAUGUGCUUAGAUGGUUUUAGUGUACAGUUCUUCGAGCAUCAAUGCAAGGACAAUCCAAACUUGAACAAUGUCAAUUGCCAACCCCAAUAGUUCAAGAUUCAUGGAAUGAUUGCUUGUUCGAACAAAAUGCAAGCUUUUUUUGGCGAAUGCUGCAGAUUUCUUCGAACGCAUUUCAUUCCAUAGGGAAUGGUUCUCUCUUAUACAAAUACUCUGUGUACUACUCAUCAGACCCGCUUCAGCCUUUAUUUGCCAUCUAGGGCAAGCUCCCAUUUCCUCAAUGAUGCCAAAAGUGGAAAGCGAUUUCUUUGCCUAGCUACAAUGCUUACAGGCUGCUGCUUUAAGCGAAGUGUCAAGAAGAUGCUUCCAAAGUAAUAUCAUGGGCCAUUUGUGAUGGUUGCUGCUUCCUUAGGCAUUAAUAAAGUGAGCUUUCGUAUUGGACAUCUUGCAAGUGGAUCAAUCAACUUGUCAUUAAUCUAAAAGCUUAAGGUUAACUACCAGUAACAAAUUGACAUGUGUCAUUGUUCAGGGGUUGUGUUCCUUCCUUGAAUUAAAAAUAAAAAAGCCUCAUGUUCACCUU